UAUUCUUUAAAGAUAUGUCUGCAUCAGCCCACCUGCACUAGUCAGAGUUAAGGAAACCACUAAUUAAAUCAUAAAUUCAGGACACCCCUCUAUUCUCACAUUUACUACAUUUGCAGGUCUCCUGCUGCCACCAUGAAAUGACUUGGACCACUAGAAACAAAGGAGCCUAAGGGCCCCUUAAGAGUAUGUGGAGUACAGGCCUCAGGAAUCUCCGAUGCUUAUCUGUUAGGUUCAUAAACCCAAAGGACAAACAAUCCUCCUGUCAACCUG
rnacentral:lncRNA from 1 species